UACGUAGGGGGCAAGCGUUGUCCGGAAUCAUUGGGCGUAAAGAGCUCGUAGGCGGUCUGUCGCGUCGAAUGUGAAAACCCGGGGCUCAACUCCGGGCUUGCAUUCGAUACGGGCAGGCUAGAGUUCGGUAGGGGAGUCUGGAAUUCCUGGUGUAGCGGUGAAAUGCGCAGAUAUCAGGAGGAACACCAAUGGCGAAGGCAGCUCGCUGGGACGGUACUGACGCUGAGACGCGAAAGCGUGGGGAGCAAACAGG
rnacentral:rRNA from 1 species